rnacentral:rRNA from 1 species
ACGGGAGGCAGCAGUGGGGAAUAUUGCACAAUGGGGGAAACCCUGAUGCAGCGACGCCGCGUGAGUGAAGAAGUUAUUCGUAAUGUAAAGCUCUAUCAGCAGGGAAGAAAAUGACGGUACCUGACUAAGAAGCCCCGGCUAACUACGUGCCAGCAGCCGCGGUAAUACGUAGGGGGCAAGCGUUAUCCGGAUUUACUGGGUGUAAAGGGAGCGUAGACGGCUUAGCAAGUCUGAUGUGAAAGGCAGGGGCUCAACUCCUGGACUGCAUUGGAAACUGUUAAGCUAGAGUGCCGGAGAGGUAAGCGGAAUUCCUAGUGUAGCGGUGAAAUGCGUAGAUAUUAGGAGGAACACCAGUGGCGAAGGCGGCUUUCUGGACUGUAACUGACACUGAGGCACGAAAGCGUGGGGAGCAAACAGGAUUAGAUACCCUGGUA